rnacentral:rRNA from 1 species
ACACGACUACAUUAGAUACCCGGGUAGUCCUAGCCGUAAACGAUACUCGCUAGGUGUCGGCCACGGUGCGACCGUUGUCGGUGCCGUAGGGAAGCCGUGAAGCGAGCCACCUGGGAAGUACGGCCGCAAGGCUGAAACUUAAAGGAAUUGGCGGGGGAGCACAACAACGGGUGGAGCUUGCGGUUUAAUUGGAUUCAACGCCGGAAAUCUUACCGGGACCGACAGCAACAUGAAGGCCAGGCUGAAGACUUUGCCGGAUUAGCUG